ensembl:lncRNA
GGGAAAAAGCAAGGCCGCUUGAACAUCCGCUGUGGAUAUUGCACACUUUUCCCAUGGAGGAGGAAGCAGCGGCGGCGGAGCGCGUGGAAGAGGAAGGCGGCCGAGCCCGCAGAGCCGCCAAGCCCCUCGCUCUCCGCUGUCGUCAUUGCUCAGGCAGCCGGACCUGGCCGGGGCAGCACCUGUCCCUCCGCCCGCCCACCGGCCGGGCAGCCCCCUGCGCUGCGGGCCUCGGGGGGCUUCUGGAGGAACCCGGCCGGGCGAGUCCCGUCUUCUCUGCCUCCCAGGACGGAGAGGCCGCAGGCGGAGCAGGAAGGGAACCGGGAGCCUGCUUCGUCCUCGGCGAUCAAGAAGACUUCCAGGCCUCGCGGGCCGCUGGCUGGGCUCCGACCACCGCAGAGGAGGAGGAAGACGAAUUCCCACCUGCAGCCCCCGCUCUCUCUAUUUCGUGUAAGGCCUGCGCCACAGAAGCCCUGCUCAGCCUUGUUUCAAGAAGGGGAGUGCCAGCCUUUAGCAUCUCUUGGCAUCUGAAGAGCGUGGAAGGUACGCGCCCUCCCCUUUGGAGGCAGGGAGGUGAAGGUGAGCCGCACAGCCUCACGGGAUUGCCUUGCUGAUUUUUAUUUUCGCUAAAUGUGACUCUCCAUAGAAACUAAUGCUGAGUUGCUCCGGAAUGGUUAAUGAACCUCUNCUCUUUUAAGAGCAGCCUGUGCAGGUGUUUCCUCACCACGGGGCAGGAGCUGUUUCAGCCACAGGCGGCCCUCUUUUACCCCGCAGCAAAGGCUUUCGGGUCUUGCGCCGGGAUUUCUGUUUUAGCAGGCAGAGUCUUUCCUUGAUCCAGGCGGAACGCAGUUUGUGCGUCGACCUUCCCCAUUAGCUCACACGGGACACAGUUGCCACCGCCGCUCGAAUCUCGCUCAAAGCAACUUGCCUCCCGGCUCCACCUGGGGAACCGCCUCCCAUUUCCCCUGCGAGGGGCUGCGUGCCUGGACGGUCGAGCGUCACUCGCCUACAGGAGCCGUCGGGUAGGUGAGGCUGCGAAGAUCGCCUCAUCCAGGUGAGCCUAAGAUGCCGCGGCGACUCGGGAUCGCCAGCAGGGACAGGAAAAGGCGCUCCAUCUCCUUUGAGCCCCCCGCAGCCUUCUCGCUCCUCCGCUCCGGCUCUCUGCACAGGAGACCGCCGCGCCCCUUCUGCCCUCCCCGUCUCCCUCGCCCCUCUCCCGCCUGGCGGCCGCUGACGUCACCUCUCGCCUCCCGCUUGCUCAACUCAUGCGCCCACCGCGGCGAUUUCCGUCGGGGCAGCAGCGCAUCGCCUUUACUGCCCACCAGUUCUUUUCGUCCCCUGGCACCGUCCCUGGGCGCGACUCUAAAGUGGCCGCGACGUGUUGCGCCUCGCCAAGAACACAUCGAAAGCAAAGCUGCCGUAACAGAGCCGGCGGAAGUGAGAAGGAAGCAAGGAGAGGGCUGGGAAUCCGCCGUGCAGCGCCCUUUUUCGUCUCCGAUACCGCCUCCACCCAAGCGACGGGUUUCUUUUUCCCCCCAGCGCCGCCCUGCUCCCGGCUAGCAGCCUGAUGUCUGAUGCAGAGACAUCAGUAUCCAGGACCCCGCCGCCGGGUAC